GGCGGUUUUUGACGGUACCGGCGGAAUAAGCACCGGCUAACUACGUGCCAGCAGCCGCGGUAAUACGUAGGGUGCGAGCGUUAAUCGGAAUUACUGGGCGUAAAGCGUGCGCAGGCGGUUCGUUGUGUCUGUCGUGAAAGCCCCGGGCUUAACCUGGGAACUGCGAUGGAAACUGGCGAGCUUGAGUGUGGCAGAGGGGGGUGGAACUCCUGGUGUAGCAGUGAAAUGCGUUAC
rnacentral:rRNA from 1 species